rnacentral:rRNA from 1 species
AGUAACGCGUGGGUAACCUGCCUCAUACAGGGGGAUAACAGGUUAGAAAUGACUGCUAAUACCGCAUAAGCACACAGAAUCGCAUGAUUCGGUGUGAAAAACUCCGGUGGUAAUGAGAUGGACCCGCGUCUGAUUAGCUAGUUGGUGGGGUAAAGGCCUACCAAGGCGACGAGCAGUAGCCGACCUGAGAGGGUGAUCGGCCACAUUGGGACUGAGACACGGCCCAAACUCCUACGGAAGGCAGCAG